rnacentral:rRNA from 1 species
CCUACGGGUGGCUGCAGUCGAGAAUCAUUCACAAUGGGGGAAACCCUGAUGGUGCGACGCCGCGUGGGGGAAUGAAGGUCUUCGGAUUGUAAACCCCUGUCAUGUGGGAGCAAAUUAAAAAGAUAGUACCACAAGAGGAAGAGACGGCUAACUCUGUGCCAGCAGCCGCGGUAAUACAGAGGUCUCAAGCGUUGUUCGGAAUCACUGGGCGUAAAGCGUGCGUAGGCUGUUUCGUAAGUCGUGUGUGAAAGGCGCGGGCUCAACCCGCGGACGGCAUAUGAUACUGCGAGACUAGAGUGAUGGAGGGGGAACCGGAAUGCUUGGUGUAGCAGUGAAAUGCGUAGAUAUCGAGAGGAACACUCGUGGCGAAGGCGGGUUCCUGGACAUUAACUGACGCUGAGGCACGAAGGCCAGGGGAGCGAAAGGGAUUAGAUACCCGAGUAGUC